AUUUGCAGCAUGUGGUCUAUCAUCUAGAGAAGUCAGAGCAUUAACUCAAUGCAGGAGCUGAUGCAGAGGCCAUGGAGGAGUGCUGCUUACUGCCUUGCUCCUUGUGACUUGCUCAACCUGCUUCCUUAUAAUAUCCAGGGCCAGGAGUCCAGGGGAGGCACCAACCACAGUGAUCUGGGUCCUCCUACAUCAGUCAUCAAUCAGGAAAAAGCACCACAGUCCAAUCUGGUAGGGCAUUUUAUCAACUGACAUUCCUUCUUCAAAAAUGACUCUAGGUUGUGUCAAGUUGACAUUAACUAGCCAGCACAAAUGGUAUUGACAGGAAAGGGGCAAUGGGGGGAAAGCCCUUAGAACAGCUCACUUGGUGUCUUAAUUGUGUUUCUGUUGCUGUGAAGAGAAAUUUUGGCCAAGGCAACUUAUAAGCUUCAGAGAGUGAACCUGUGACCAUUAUGAUGGGAAACAUAGCAGUAGGCAGGCAGGCGUGGUGCUGGAGCAGUAGCUGGAAGCAUACAUCUGAUUCGUGAGGCAGAAAGUGCAAGAGAGCGAGAAAGCAAGAGAUAGACAGGCAGACAGACAGACACUGGGCAUGAUGUGGACUUUUGAAACCUCAAAGUCUACCCCCAGUGACAUACCUCCUCCAACAAGGCCACAUCUCCUAAUCCUUACCAAAAGAGUUCUACCACCUAUCAACUAAGCAUUUAAAUAUAUGACUCCAUAAGGGUCAUUCUCAGCCAAACCAUUACACUUGGAUUCUACUUAUUUAUGUGGGAUACAACUAUUGUUCCUUUGACAGAAAGUCCACAUGCAUAUGCUCAAUUUUGGAGGAAUGAGGGAUCCUCCCUUCUGCUGGCUGGUUCCCUGAUGUUGUGGAAUAAUGCUCUUGUAGACUGUAAAGAUUUGUCACUUGUAUUGGUUUAAUAAAACAGUGAUUGGCCAAUAGCCAGGCAGGAAGUAUAGGCAAGUCAACCAGACUAGAAGAAUUCUGGGAAGAAGAAAGGCAGAGAAGCAGUUGCCAGUCAGACACAGAGGAAGCAAGAUGAGAAUGCCUUCCUGGGAAAAGGUACCAAGCCAAUGGCUAAACAUAGAUAAGAAUUGUGGGUCAAUUUGAGUUGUAAAAGAGCUAGUUAGUAAUAAGCCUGAGCAAUAGCCCAAACCAUUUAUAAUUAAUAUAAGCCUCUGUGUGUUUAUUUGGGAUUGAAUGGCUGCAGGACCAGGUAGGACAGAACAGAAACUUCUGUAUACACCCUGGUUCAUCACUGGUGGGUGAAUGCUAUUCACAGCCUAAAGAACUGGAAAUCUGAACAACUGGAGACCAGCCUGCUCUAAAUGAAGUGGCCUUGUUUUGUCUUCUGAAACCAACAGCUUGCUCUUCCACUUCUUCAGUGUUGGGAUGCCCUCACUAGAUGUUAUUAGUAUGCUCUUAAGACUUCCCUGUUCCUAGAACUCUAUGUCAGAACAAUUCUCUAUUCUUUGAAAGUCAUGCAGCCUCAGGCACUUUGCUACAGUAUCAGAAUAUGAACCACAGCAGUGUUAAAUCCCUGUCAGCACUCCCUGACACCAGAGUUCAGUCUUCAGGAACUGCCUUGUUGCCUGAGAUUGGUUUCUGAUCUCACCGCUUGCUCUUCAGUCAUGCUUGCAUAGUUCUCAUGAUGUUGCCAAGUCCAGCAAACCUCAGAUCUUAAAUGUACUCAUUAGCUAUCCAUCUUCACCUGCUUCCAUUGCUGCUCCCUGACUUCUUCAGCAGUACCACCUGUUCCCUAAGACUACUUUAGAGGAUACACCUCUAGACACCACCCCAACCUUAAUCUAGUGGGAUAAAUCCCACUAGACAUCAGUGAGCAUAUUGUCUCCAUCAUGAAUAGCUCUUAAAAAGUCUAUUCUCUCUACUGUGUCAUUAGUUCAGACACAGAAAUGGGCUCUUGUAGGAAGAUACACAAGCAAGUAACCUAUUGUCCCUCAUACCCUUUAUUCUUGCUUUAGUUCCUCCCUAUUUGUCCUGUCCAUCAAGGCCAGACAAUCUUGAUUCAAUUUCUGUUUGAUUCCUGGUUUUAUCCCUGUACAAUCCCCUCUCCUAGGACCUGGAAAGAUGCCCUGAAGUUGUAGAUUGAAAAUGCAGAGGUUGCAUGUACACCUGGUUGCAAAGUUCCCCUUUGACCCCAAGCAAGUCCUUUAGCUGUCUACUGCCUACAUUUUCUUCUCUGUAAAGUGAGGAGAUGACCUGAAGUUUAAGGAAAUGGGUGUAAAGUUGGAGGCAAAGAGAUCUUCAAUGAAUAGUAGCUAUCCAUUUUUAACAUUAUCAUCGUGCCUUGGUGCAUAUGUAGGGGUCAGAUGACAAUCUUUAGAAGGAAUUCUUAUAUUCCACCUUGUUUGGGAAAGGGUCUCUUGAUCUUUUCUGUGCAUUCCAGGCUAGCUGGCCUGAAGGCUUCCAGAAACUCCUCUGUCUCCAGCCAUCUCACUGUAGGAUUGUUGUAAUUACAAAUGCAUGCUGUCAUGUCUGGCUGUACUUGGGUCCUAGCAAUCUAAAUUUCUUUAUGUUUGUGUGGCAAGUGCUUUUACUCACUGAGCUAUUGAUAUGAGUGUUCUGUGCCAGAAACAUACAGGAAGAUUUUUGUGUCUUUCCAGAAUAUCAGAAUUUAUUGAAUAACAGUAAGUUCACAAGGCUGUUUAAAGAUGGUCAAAUGACAGGAUUCAUCAUAUGAUAGAAUAUGCCUACCUUAGUGGCUCAGCAGAGGCAAAUGCAAGUUCUUUACUCCAGUCUUAACCACUAACUCUUAUAUCGCACAGCACACAGCAACUAUACCUAUGUAUCUCUCUUUCUAUCUAUCUCUAUAUGAAUUACAGAAUGAAUACACGUAAGAGACUACAGCAGUAUUCAAAAGGUUUCAGAAGUGGGCAGAAAAAGAGUUGGUAUAGAUACGAUAACGACUAGACCAGUGUUGGAAGUCUAGUUAGAGAGCAGAGCUACAGUACUGGUUCGACUGUGAGGCUGAAAAGGUAGAACCUGGUCCUGAACAGAAAGUUGGUCAGAAACAGGAAAGAUCAGGCAAACAGGCAGGUGGGCAGGCAAUUGGGUGGAUUGAGUCAACAGCAGGGGACUAAGUCCAGUCAAGGAGUCCUUGGUACUUGAUGCACAUACCAGUAUCAGAUGAUAGGUUGAUUUUGGGCUAUGUCAUCUAAGAGUUAGUCACAUUCCUUGGUCUGGUGUGUCAGGUAUGUUCUUGGGCCUGGUUUCCCUGAUAGCAUUUUAGUGCUCCCAUAGUUCCAUUCCUCCCCAGUGAAGUUCCUUUCUGUUCUCAGGUGGCAGUCAUCCUUCUCACUCAAAAUUUAGUCGAAUGCGGCCUGUGAAUCAGAGUCUCCUAGGGUAACUAAUGCUCAGCCUGAAAACUGUUUAAUCACAUAAUAUGGAGUGACUUUGAGCAAGGCAUUGCCUGACCUCAACAGCCAUCUCCCAGCCUGAUGUUCUGAAUACUUUUUAUUUGCCCAGUGCGCUCUAUGCUUUUCUGCUUCUGUGUGCCUUGUUGUGGUCAAAAUUCUCCCAGUUCUUCAAAGUACAUACUUCUCAUCACCCCAGUGGAACCUCUUCCCUUGCUCCCAAGGGAGCUUUUCUAAAUAAGUGUGUUACUUAGAACAGCUACCUUGCAAGUCAUUCUGCCUGUCAUACUCCACUUGCUUCAGGCACUGGUGUCCAUGGAUGCAACCAGUUCAGGUCUAUCCUGUGAUGUUAGCACAAUGGCAGAAUCACUUUGUCACCCAUCUUUGGAACGUCCCCCUCCUUAAGUGACACAUGACUGUAUUUAAUUUCCCAUCAAUGGUGACCCUGUUUCUAUAAUCUGGGAUGUAGCCUCUGCUCUAAUGUCUCUCAUGACAGGAUAAUUUUGUCUGUUCCUUACUUCAUAUGGCCCACAGAGAACAGUUGGCACUCUUUUGUAUCUAUGUUCUUAUGUUCUCCUGGUAGUUUUAGUUAGGACUCAUCCUUGUGGGGUGCAUGUUUUAGUGUUUUGUUCCUUUUUUCAUUUGGCUAAAUAGUACUCUAUUAUGUGAAUAUGCCACACUCUGCCCAUCCAUUUACCUGGUAUUUGACAUGAGUUAUUUCUAAAUUUUAUGAAGAAGGCUGCUAUAAAUACAUUUGUAACAGUUUUUUUCUGCUUUCAUUCCUCUUGACAAAGCAGAAUUGCCAAGUCAUAGCAAUGAAGAAGCAACACAACAUCUGCCAGUAGGGCCUUGCGUUUCUGUUAGAACUGUCUGGCAGAAUGGAAUCACUUUAUCACAAGUUCUGCCCAAGUCUUCAUUUUCUGUGCAUUCUUUUCUUUUUAAACUCAAUUCUGAAUCCUCAAAUUGCCAACCAUUAGCCUCUUUUUAUUAAAUAUUUAAGGACCUAGGUGAGUAACAAACUUGCAAGUGUCUCUUAUGGGGUAACUUUUUAUUUGCUUAUGCAGGAAAUUCAAAAGGUGUGGGGGUGCUGAGAGGAUCUCAGCAUGUUUUUAAUAUCCCUAUAACCCAAAGGCAGAUCAACAAUGUUCAUUUUACAGACAGAGAAGAUGCCAUCUAGGGUGACAGCAAGGAAAGCAAUGAAUUCUUCAUAAUAAUCUAUCCAAAUGCCACCAUAUUGGUCUGCACUUCUUACGCUGGGGUGUUCACUAUAGAACAGAUGGAGAGUCACCUGACUCAGUAGGCCAGGUCCCAGGUCUGUAAGGCCAUUGUCACUUUUUUGUUUCAUCUCAUUGCCCACCUCAUGCCCCACCCUGUUCCCUCAGGGUUAUCUUGAUGCUACCACUUAGCCACCCCUCACCCCACUGUGGUCUAUUCCAGGUGCUGGGUACAUGGCUGGAAUAUACCACCCACAAAGGCUACAGAGAAUCACUGCUUUGCUUUCACUGGUUCUCAGACCAGUGGAAUCUGGUCCUUCCUAGAGUUAGAUGAGUAAGCCCUUGGGAAAUUAGCCAAAGUGUUAGGAGAAGAAGAUUAGUAACUCACUGGUGAGACAGAGGACAGCAUCAGACAAUUGGAAGAGAAGAAGGCAUGUCUGAAUUGAAAUUUUUUUUUGUGUGUGGUGGAAUGGGAUGCUGAAGGCCAGUGCAUCCCAAACAACAAUAGGAAUUAUUGUUCUUUGAAGUAAGUUAUUUAUGAUCAGAAAGAUUUUUUUUCCCUAGUUGGUCUUCAAAGUGGUUACCUCUCCUUGGUAGAGAGACACUUGUGUUUUAUUCUCUUUCUCUAUGCUGUAUGUAUUUUAAGAAUUUUCCUAAAAUUGCCACAUGGUACUUUUAAAAAUUAAGGACAUUUUUCUUAAAAUUGGAGAUGAUAUAGCUAUAAGAAGUGAUACAGAGUCAUCCCAUAUACUAUCUGUUAGUCAGCUCUCCCCAACACAAACACCUUGAAGUACUACAGUACAGUGUCACCACUGACCCUGAAGACACAGUCAAUAUGCCAUAUGAGACUCUCAAGUUUCUCCUUUUCAUCACAGUUGCCAUGUCCUCCUGGACAUCCUCCUCAAUCCUGGAGACCAUGAAUCUGACCUUGAUCACUUCAUGAAUGUUACAUGCAGUGUGGGCUGAACUACUCUAUAUUCUCACCAUCAAGGUUGCAGUCCAUAACUGGGGGAAGCCAGAGCAGGAGCUCAAGACAGGAAUCUGGAAGACAGGAACCUGAAGCUAAGACCCUAGAGGAACACUACUUGCUGACUGCUGUUCCUCAAACCUUGUGAAAUACACACCCAUCUAAGGGCUUUGUGGAUACAGGCCCCUACACCUGCAAUAUCUCUGCUGGAGAUCCACACGAAGACUCCUGAUAUCCAUGAGGCUGUUGCUGUCUUUGGACUCCUGAAUCCAUCCACUCCACAUUCAAGGGAACACAUAGCUCUUUUCUAUGCCUUAAGUCCUCAAAGCACAUCUCAACACCUGACAUAUUGUUGGCUCUCUUGUUUACUCACUGCUUGUCUAUGUCUACUUUCAACAUGUCAGAUCUGUGUCAUCAAAGGCUUUGUCUCUUGAAUUCAGUAUUGUGCUAACUGGUACCAAGUAUAGACCCUGACUCAAUGAUUAUUUGUUGAAUGGCUGAAUGAAUGUUUGAAGUGAAUGUUGAGCCCCAUUCACUGUAACCUCUUUCCCUGAAGCACAGGUCUUUGCUCCUUCAUGUGGACACAUUUGUUCCCUGCCCCUCCACUAGUUCUUUAAUAAAAAUGGUUCAGUUGGCUCAUCCCAGUUUAUUUAUACUCCACCAUGUGGUCGGUUUGAACUGAGGAGUAUAUUAGUUUUCUGUCAAGUUUGGUUAAGUUCCAGCAUAAGAGUCAUGGCUGCAGGAGUAGGAAGCUGAGAGUUCACACCUUCAAAUGAAAGAACAAAACAGGAAGAGGACAAGACUAUAAACAUUAAAAGUCCAUCCCCAGUGACAUCAAGAUCCUGCAUCAAGGUCCCAUCCCUCAACAGUUUCACAACUCCCCACAACAGCGCCACUAACAGGGGACCAAGUGUUCCGAGCUUAUGGAGGACAUUCUUAUUCAAGCCAACACUAGGUAUUUGGGCACUUAAAGCAAUUCAGCUGCUUUCUGACAGUUUGUCCCUUUUUCAUGGACUUCAGAUUCACAUAGUCCUGAUGGUCCCAUCCAUCUCCCUGACUGAUAGGCAGAAAUCUGGGACUUUGAACUUGAGGAACAGAUUCCUAUCUUGGAUCUGUCAAUUUCCUCAUCUGUGAAUGAAUCAUUCCAAAGCCCUCACCUGGAGUGGCUAACUUGAGAAACAACAUACAGCCAGUGUUUAACACAGCAUCUGGCAGAUAGUAAAUGUCAUGAAUACCUAAACUCUCUUAGCCUUCUGUCUUGUGUCAACUUUCCACCCCAUCUCUUGAGCAACAAGCCUCCUCCCUUGAUCUUUUUCUUGUACCACAUGAAGUUUUGGCAAAGCCCUUCUUAUCUCCCUUGCCCUGGGGGCAGCUUGCUGAGAGAGCCUCCCCAAACACCUGUAUAUACAAUGUCUGAAAUUACAAUAAGAGAAAUUUGGCAGGAGACCUAAAGUUAGUUCAAUUGGUAAAAAUGACUUAUAAGCCUCAAGACAGUGUAUUGCUUUGGAUCACUGGCCAUUGCGUUGAAAGAUUAGCAUGAAUUAGGUUACAGAUAGCUUAAGAAUCCCCUCUUUAUUAAGAGGUACGAUUCCAGCAUGCUCUGAUUAGAAAAAGGUGACCAAUUAAGAAGCCCUGAGGAACAGUGUGUCUCCCAUGAGUCUGGAGUGUUCACAUCUGAUUAUCUUCCUAUAGGUCCUGUUCGUGUUAAUGUGGAUGGCAGGCAGGGACAAAGUCAGACAGCACAGUCAAAUGGGAUGAUGGAGGAAGUUUGAUGAAGGGGCUUCUUAAAAAGGUGCUGGGAAGACCGAGGUAAAAUGUCUUAGUUAACUUUCUAUUGCCACAACAAAAUCCCACACCAAGGCAAUUUAUAAAAGAAGAAUUUAAUUUGGAGCUCAUAGUCCCACAGGGUUAGUCUAUGACCAUCUUGACAGGAAGGAUGACAACAGACAGGCAGGCAUGGCUCUAGAGCAGUAAUUGAGAGCUUACAUCUGAUCUAUAAGCAGGAGAUGGAGAGGGUGGGGAGAGCCAGUCCCCAGUGUCACACUUCCUCCAACAAGGCCACAUCGUCUAAUCCUUCCCAGAUAGUUCUACAAACUAGGGACCUGCCAUUCAAAUAUGUAAACCUAUGGGGCCAUAUCAUUCAAACCAACUAAAAGUGUUGAUCUAGCAGGGUGGUAACCCAACACACACACACACACACACACACACACACACACACACACACACACACACACACAAACACUUGGGAACAAAUGCCCCUCCUUGAUCACAAUUUGCCCUCCUGUUUCCAGUCACUGCCCACCUUUGUACAGAUCUCGGGAAAAAAUGAUUGCUGAACUCACAGAGAUGGAGGUCAGUCUCCAAAAUCCCAGGACAGGAUGGAGAAAUGGAGGGAGGAUCUUAAGGAGCCAAUGGGGACAUUCAGUUAGGUUUGCUUGAUAAUGAGGGUAAGCGAGAGGGCUUUCCCAAAAUGUUUUUGUAAUGUUGACAGCCCUCAAAAUAGGCAAAAAUCACUUCUAUUUGAUUAAAGAUAGAUCUUUUAUUUUUAACUAUAUGUACAUAUGUGUCUAGGGGCAUGUAUACUUAUGAGUAUGGGGGCCUGUGAAAACCAGAGAGGAUGUUGGAGUCCCUAUUGCUGAAGUUAAAGGCAGUAGAGAACUACCCAACAUGGAUGCUGGAACCUGAAUUUCAGUUCUCUGGCAAGGGCAAUAUGUGAUCUUCACCACUGAGCCUUCUCUCCCGGCCCUGCAUGGAUUACUCUUGUUAAAUAUCUUAGCUUUUAUUGGUGGUUCUGGGAUUGUGAGACCUCUUCCCUUUGUUUUGUUUAUUGCACAGCCUAUAGUGAUCAGUGAUAUUUAAAAUUGAUUUGUGACUAUACAAACUCAUUUACAUGAAGUUACACACUAAAUCAGGGUAUGGUGGCAGAAGAUACAACAUUGGUAACUUCUGGAAAGGGGUGUGUGCUGUCUGUGAAGUGGCCCAAGGGACCCUGGUAACAGGGUAUGUAUAUUGGCCAGACUCCAUUAAGCCACACAUGUAAGACUUAGGUAUUUUAUUGUAUGCAAAUUACACCUCUAGAAAGAGAAGAAAAAAUGGUAGGUUAUGCCCUUGAAAGAGGAGCAGUGUUUGUGUGCAAUCGUCUUUCGUGUUUAUACAAUCUAUAUGAUCAAGUGCAAACCAGAUCAGCAUUGUCUCAUGUGCCCUCUCUACAUUUGCUCCCGGUACUCAGUCUUUCAAGAGGCAAAGAUAGGGGAGGGGCACAGACGUGUCUUGGUGAAAGCUGCAGACAAUUACCCCCAGUUGAAAAUAAACAUAAUAAAACUAUAGAAGUCUAAUUUUUGCAACUUGAGAGGGUUUUUCUGUAGCUAUUCAUUUCUAAUCACUCUCACCUAAUAAAUGAAUAGAAUAGCUAAUGUGAUUAGACUAAUUCACUAUUCAUCAGGAAUAUUAAAUGAAUAGAAUAUUUUGCAUUUCACCAGUCACACAUCUUGAGUAUUUACCUGAUAUUACAAUCAGACAUGUGUUAGAUUUUUCCCUGUGCUUCUGGGCCAUAGCUCAUGGAUAAUUACAGUGUUUAAUUAGACCCACACAGCACUUGGCUCUCCAGUGUGGAAGGAAAUUACAGGAUGUAGACAGAACAAAUCAAGGCUGUAAAGGAAAAGUAGCCCUUUGCUAUAUCCCCUUGGAAGAAUUAGCAGAGGAAUGAGCAACAAACUUUGAAUAGAGAAAGUUGUUUUCAAUCAAGAUUUUGCAAGGACAUUUUUGGAAGCACAGUUAGUGGCCUUUAGAUGGGAAACAAUAAGGUACAGAAUCUUUUCAUAAGGUAGAUUUUUGCCCCCUCAUCAUUCUUAAAUGCCUGAUAUAUUUGAAGAUAUCCUAGAACUUUUAGUUGGUGGAAAGCUACUUCUAAGCAAGGAGAAUGGGUGGCUAUAGUUUUGGCUUUGUGUGUGUGUGUGUGUGUGUGUGGGGGGGUUCUUCCAGAGACUCGGGCAUCUAUUUCUUCUUACUCCUUAAUCUUGAAAAUGCAAUAAAGUACUGUGACAGCUGAGUGACUCGUUUUUCCCUAUUAAAUAUGACAAUGUCAUAGUGGAAAGGAGAAGGCUAAGAUAGCCUUGCAAUUCUCACUAGAACAUGAACAAAUUCAAUCCAUACAACAUCAUGAUGAGGACAGUGGAAGAAAGCAAGUGUGGAACUCCCUGUGGGAGGCAUGUGCUUGGUGUAUACGAAGGCAUUGAAGAUGGUGUUGUGCCAAGUGGAGGGAGAAGAGCAGUGUUGGGGCAGGAGGCUAAGAGAAGGUGACAGGCAGCCAGAGGGCAGAUCAGGGAGCAGAGACAAGAAUUUUCUUGUCUAAAUGAGAUUGGAAACCCUUGAUCCAUUUUUGCAGAGAAGUGCAUUUAUACUUUGAAAGGGUUGUUCUAGCUGCUGUGCAGAGGACAGACUGACAUGGAAGGAGGUGGGGAUAAAGGUAGAAAGAAAUAGGCUAGUUUACUGACAAAGCCCAGUGGUGACUUGCUAGCAGUGGAGGCGGACAGCUAUUACACAUCUUGCCCUGUAGAGCUAAGGAUCAAACCCAGAGCUCUCCAUGUUAGACAAGAUCCUACCAGUGACUUACAUGCUUACAGUCCUUUGCACAUAUUUUGAAGGAAGAGUCAUAUUUAGAUGAACAAGCCCUGGGGUAUGCGUGGCAAAGAAGAAUUACAGAUGACUCCAGGGUGUGUCAUCUUCAAAAUAAGUAGAAUAGAGGAGUCACCCCUCUUGAUGGGGGAAGAUGUAGAUGAAUGGGUAGGGAAAGUGUCAUAAUCAAAACUUGGAAGCACUAAGUUUGGCAUUCUAAUUACACCCUAGGGGAGAUAUCGAGGAAGAAGCUGGAAUUCUGGGGAGAGAAUGUUUUCCAGCUGGUUGCAGAAGGUGUCAGAACACAAUCCAGCUGUCCGGGAGAAACGAACACGCCUGUGGGAACUUCCACUGGAGUCCAGGACUAGGAACUGUGGGAAGCCUUUGGGGAUUGAGAAUAGUCAAUGACCAACAGCUGGCUUCUAGUCUCCUGAUCUUGCAUGACAUGAGUGUAGUAACUGUUACAAGAAAGGCAAUUGGGACACCUGGUUUGCUGACUUUUGACAUUGCAAACACCACAACAUUGACAUGGACAAGGCUCACAGUGGAGACCUGUGCAAUCGAGCUAAAAGGUAGGGUAUGUUGUGAACAGGGGAAGAACUGCCUGGUGCCUAAGGAGUAACUCAGGACUCGACCACUCUUGGUUGGCAUUAUCUUGGAAUAAUUCCAGAUCCCAAAAGAUUUGACUUGCCUGAAGAGAUGAAGUGAUGCAAGAGAAUGAUGGAUUUAAGUGACAAUCUUUGUGUUGUGGAAAUUCCGAGCACAAGAAAUUAUUUCACCAAGUAGCAGAAGUGGACAAGGACGAUGCUGUUGGGAGUGAGAGAGUGCUAAUCUGUUUGGUGUGGGAUGGACCUGCACUGUAUAAAAAUGCUGAGCAAACCAGAGAGCAAGUCGGUAAGCAGCUUUCUUCCAUGGUUCCUGUGUCUGCUCUUGCCUUGGGUUCCUGUCUGACUUCUCUUGAUGAUGGAAGGACUCUAAGCCCAUGGGAGUGAAGCUGUUCGUGGAAGUCUGCACCCAGGAGUCUUUGGUGUUGACCAAUAUCCCAUACCGUGAAGUCAUCAGUGCUGGCCUCGAAGUCUCAUGAUCAGAUACUCUCAUGCACAAAACCAAUGUCUUCCCAAGUCCCUGUGGAUCAUAUGCUUCUGGCUAUGACAUAUUCUAUAAAGCUGUGGGGUGCACUUUGAGGCUACUGCUUAAGUGAUACUCAUUUGGAACAAAAGUAGGGGAGAAGAGAGAACCCUGAGGAUGGAAGCAUGUCUCAAAACAAUAAAAGGAAGAGAAAGAAAGCUGAGAAUCCCUGGGAUCUGCAAGAAGAAGGGAGAAGUCACAGUAAGUGUGCUGUCCAGAUCCCAGACCCUGCGUCUCCUCCAGAACCUGCCAAUGCCAUCGAUUUCUAUUAAUCUGAUGGAGCAUUCAUUACCCCAACAACCAACCUGCCACUGUUUGCUUAGCUUGCAUGAAAUCAGAGCUCCACAAAAAUCAAUGUGUGAAAUCUUUGUAUCAACAUAUAAGAAAUCCAAAGGUUUGUGCUGGUGGUAGCAGGAUUUUAGACAGAUUAAAACUGACAAACUGGCAUGUUCCGUGGUGGUGGCAAUGAUGAGGUGUGGCACCGUGUCAAAGGUUUGGAAAACAGCCUGCUAAGAAAGAAACGAAUGACUGUUGCAGGGGAGGGAGAAUGAUGCAUCUGGAUUAUUGAGAGGACAUUUGGAUGAUGUUCUGAUGGCUUAUGUUUCAGAAGCGACUUGAAAUCAGUAGGGAGAUUUCAAGCUCUGGCAGAGCACAGCUGUCCCCUAGGAACUCAUGAGUAAAGAUGAGCGGUUAAUGGCUUGAGCAAGGUCACCGUGGGCAGAGGUUAUGCCAGGACAAAAUGGUGGAACCUUGGUACGUACUUUCAGCAGUCACUGAACAUGCCACAGGCAGAGGACUCACGUCUUAUUGGUCCCAUAGCCUCUUAUCCCAAAAAGUGAGAGUGGGGACUCUUUCCAUUCAAACAUCUAGACGCCUGUGUGAGGAUCUUGCUUCCUCAGGAGCCUAAGGAGGGUGCAGGACUAGAAGUUCCACACGGCUAACUCUGUGCACUUCAAUUUGUAAGACACGUCUUCACCCUGACCUCAAGAGUCCUGUAAACAAAGGCAAUGGCUAACAUAAUGAAGAAGAAAAACCCCCUUUGAAAAGCCUCCUCUCAGCAUCGAAGCACAGCAUUCCAAAACCGUGACAGAAUUUUUUUUUUUUAAAUUUUGAUUCCCAUGUCUCACAACAUACUGUAGGCCAUCUGCUUCCAAUAUCAGGGGCCGUGGAGUGUAUGCUUCAGGAAUGAAACUCUUCCUUUAAGAAUAGUAGCCAAGAAAGGUAACUAGCUUGCUCAGGAGGGAAAAUAAAUCCCCAGCAAACAAGUCAACAGUGGGCCUGGGGAUGUAGCAUUGUAGCUGAAUGCUGCAAUGAACACCACUCACUAGUGCUGAAAAUAAAAGCCGACAGUACACAUGUGUCAAAAUCAAACUGAAAUAAACUGGGGUGAAGCAUGGAAGACGAUGUAGAGGAAAGAGGCAAAGCAAUGGACUCAGGCUUGAGUUUGAAUCUUAUACCUGGCACACACUGGUUGUAUAUUAAUCAGUGUAGGACUCUAGAGGAGUUUUUUUUCUUCAUUUGUAUUUGGUGAGAAAAAAGGUAUGAAAGGUCUAACACUUUGUCUAAGACACAGUCAGUAGACUGUGUGUGUUUUUCUAUCAGAUCAUUUGUCUAUGCCCACUUCUCUAAAAAUGUACAUUCUAGAAACAAGAUGGUUGGAAACACAUUGACUAUCAAUGGAUGCAUGGUACAUCCAAGCCAAAACUUUUCACUUCCCAGAGUAAUAGGGCACAGCUGAGUAAGUACAGCUGACAAAGGUCUGUUGUCACUUGUCACUGUCACUUGACGGGGUGAGUUGUCAUUUGCCAUUGGCUGACAGACCAGCAAACCCUUGUCUGGUUGGUUCCUUUUGUGAUGGGUGUCAGUUUGGUUACCUGUCUACCAACACAAUAAAAAUCACCAGCAAACUUAGUAAUGUAA